CGUGCAGGCAGUGUCGUAAGUCGUGUGUGAAAGCGCUCAGGCUCAACCGGGCGAGGACAGGCGAAACUGCGGCACUUGAGGUAGGUAGAGGCGUGUGGAAUUCCGGGUGUAGUGGUGAAAUGCGUAGAGAUCCGGAGGAACACCAGUGGCGAAGGCGACACGCUGGGCCUGACCUGACGCUAAGACGCGAAAGCAUGGGGAGCGAACG
rnacentral:rRNA from 1 species